rnacentral:tRNA from 1 species
GCGUGGUGGUGUAGUCGUCAAACACAUGGAGUCUGAAGCUGCACUGUCUGGGUUCAAAUCCCAGCUACUGCA